rnacentral:lncRNA from 1 species
CUCGGGUGGUGUGGAGUUUCGUCGAUGUCGCGCCGCGGUGCUGUUCGAGCGUGUGUUCGUCGUCGUAGCAUCGCGAGGGGGCCGAGCGAGGAUCCGAUUCCGCCGUUUUCGAUGUCGCACCGGAUUGUGAUUAGCGUUUGAGGUGGGUUUAUCAUCAGAAUCCUACUCCUAUAGUGUUGUUUGUCGACAAGUAUCGUUAAUAUUACAAGUUGUUAUUGUUUAGCUCAAAUUCAUGAGUAGGUAUGUUUGAGAUAUAUAAACUGAAUUGAGAGCAUGUUAUUAGUUGUUAUUAAUCAUACAUGUGGGACUUCGAUAAAACAUAAGAGAAAACCAGCGUUCGGGAUCUGGCAUAUGUUGAACUACCUGAUUUAGCCCUAGGGGCCGUUGUAUUUUUAUACUGUUGCAGUAUCCUCAUAGUGAGUAUCCCAGAUAGUUCAGAUUUCAGUUACGCUCGUGUUGGGAUGCCGAGCCGAUUUUUACAGUAGUGUUUACAAUGUUCCGGAUUAGUGGGUGCCGUAGUGGUUGACGGCGGACCCGGAUUUGAUCAUUUCGAUAUCAAAUUGUGCCGAUGACACGUGACUAGGGAUUGGUAGUACUGUUAGACCUAUUUUCUUGACUUUAGCUUGUGAGAGCCUGAUUGAGCUCGACAGAGAUACGCUUGUAUACUCGGUUGGGUCGCGCCCACGAGUGCCGCUCCGGAGUCUGGCUUUGUGCUUUCGCGUUGGUGUCGCUGAUUAGUUGCUAUCCACGGAUUGUUUAGCGUGGAGGUAGCGCGGCUUAGACAGGUGGGACGGGUGCGUACACAGUCCGUAAUAAGAUUGGGUCAGAAUUGAUAGUAGGCACAGUGGGAUAGUGUAGUGGCAUGUAGCUGUGGAUUUCUUUUUGGGUUUACCUUUUAGCCUUGUUUCCUACUGUAGUCUUAGUCGGUGAGCCGAUGAUUUUGAGGGCGGUAUCCACUGAGGACUAUUUGUUUUUAUAGCAGUUCUCACGCCCAGUUGUUACCCUGUGUUUUGCAGAGCCUGCUGUUCCGGCUGCUGCGUCUUCAGAGGCUGAUCGAGGCAAGGGCGUCCCGAGCUAGAGCCCUACCCGACGAAUCGCCGUGCUAGAGGAUCACCAGCUGCAGGUAGUAGUAUUUUUAUUUUGAGCUUAUGUACAUACUGAUACUAGAACUCGCUGGAGCGAGUAUUUUUGUACUUGUUAGUUUGUAUGUAUAUAAGAUUUGUUCGUUCUACUUGCUUAGUUCUCUUCAGCUCUACACUACUGUUUGUAGUAUUGUAUAUUUUACAGAGACAGUUAUCGCUUCGUAUAUGGAAAAUUUUUUUUUGUAUACGGCGGAUUUGUCGGCGUGCCCGAGGAACAUGUAAUCUGGGGCGUGACAGAUUAAGUUGGUAUCAGAGCUUAGCAUUAGGUCAUUGGGAUCUAGGAAACCUAAGUUUGGCAAACCUUAGAAAAAUAAGACGGGAGAGGCGUGAUUUAUUGCGAAAGUCAAUGAUUAAUUGUUGUAACUCACCCUGAGGGGAGUGAGUGAUUGGAGGAGUGCCUGUUCUGGCCUGCAAAAUUAUGUUGGCUGCAGACGACAUAAUUUUGAGGAGAAACAGGGGCUGUCUUCCGGACUUUCGUUGAUUGGGUCGAGAGUAUUUGUGUUAUCUAACCCUAUUCUAUUUUUGCAGCUAUGUAUCGUCGUCGAGGCCGGCCGUCGACACGGGACCGGGCACAGUUGACACAGGAUCGUGUGGGACCCUCCGA